UCCGUAGGUGGAUCAAUCAGUCAGAGGUGAAAUCCUGCAGCUUAACUGUAGAACUGCCUUUGAUACUGUUGAUCUUGAGUCAUUAUGAAGUGGUUAGAAUGUGUAGUGUAGCGGUGAAAUGCAUAGAUAUUACACAGAAUACCGAUUGCGAAGGAAGAUCACUAAUAAUGUACUGACACUGAGGGACGAAAGCGUGGGGAGCGAACAGGAUUAGAUACCCUGGUAGUCC
rnacentral:rRNA from 1 species